GGUGGAAUCGUCUAAGGGCUAGGACACAUGCCUCUCACGCAUGUAAUCGGGGUUCGAAUCCCCGCUCCACUA
rnacentral:tRNA from 1 species